UAAUACGUAGGGGGCAAGCGUUGUCCGGAAUCAUUGGGCGUAAAGCGCGCGUAGGCGGCCUCACAAGUCCGCUGUAAAAGUCAAAGGCUCAACCUUUGAAUGCCAGUGGAAACUGUGAGGCUAGAGUCCGGAAGAGGCGAGUGGAAUUCCUGGUGUAGCGGUGGAAUGCGCAGAUAUCAGGAGGAACACCAACGGCGAAGGCAGCUCGCUGGGACGGUACUGACGCUAAGGCGCGAAAGCGUGGGGAGCAAACAGGAUUAGAUACCCUGGUAGUCCACGCCGUAAACGAUGGGCACUAGGUGUGGGAGGUGUCGACUCCUCCCGUGCCGGCGCUAACGCAUUAAGUGCCCCGCCUGGGGAGUACGGCCGCAAGGCUA
rnacentral:rRNA from 1 species